CCCCGGGCUCUGCUGGGAAGUGGCGGGGCGGGGUGGAGGGGCCAGAAUCAGGACCCGGCUUCUCUCCACCUACUCUACCUCGUGGUGCAGGAGAGCCGGCAGGCUCCUGUGAUGCUGUGUGGCACGGGGGCAGUGGCUUCCCGUCUCUGGAUCUCGUGUCCUUGCCGUUUCUGAGGCUGUCAUUUCCUGCUCUGGGGCUGUGACCUGGUCUUGUUUCCCAGGGCCACCGCCACCACUCGAGGAACUCUACCUGUUCUGGGGUCUGGAGUCAGCAGGUGACCCAGAGAAGUCAGGCUGGGGAAGGCGCCCAGGUGGCCCCUGGCUCCUGCCACUGUCGCCCCUGGGGGAGGGGGCACCUGCCACCACGUCCUGCUGUCUAGCUGUGGGUUCUGUGGUGCAGGACAGAACCCCGGGCCUCCACAGGCUGCACAAGUGCUCUACCCCUGAGCCACCCCCCAGCCCCAUAUGUAGUUUUAAAACAGGUCAAUUUAGUUUUUAUUUACACAUGUCUAGGUUUUUGCCGCCCUGGGGGAUAGAACCCAGGGCCACUCUACCACAGAGCCACAUUCCAGCCCCUUUUUAUUUAUUUUUUUAACUUUGAAACGGAAUCUUGCUGAGUUGCCGAGGCCGACCUUGAACUUGCGAUCCUCCUGCCUGGGCCUCCCGAGUUGCUGGGAUUCCAGGUGUGCGCCACGGCAUGGGGCUAAGGUUGAGUUUUUAGGUGAUGCAGAGCCAUAAAGGAAAGCCGGUUAAGAAAACUGGGUGUGGUGGCACCCGCGCUUGAAAUGCCAGCGACUGGGGAGGCUGACGAGGAGGACUGCAAGUUCGAAGCCCAUCUGGGCCAUGGAGGGAGACGAUCAGGCAACGAGAAAGAGCGGGGCUGGGGCUGGGGCUCAGAGGCAGAGUCCCCCGGGCGGGUUCAGUCCCCAAGUCGGGCCACGCUGCAGACUGAAAAGGGCCUGGGGUUGAGACUUCCUCGGAGACCCCCGGGGGCUCUGGGGGGACCUGACCCCUCCCAGGUCCGCCUACCCCUCGGAGCCCUGAGUCGGCAGGCAGCGGGGGCACCAGGGCCGGCCGCCGUCCCCAGGAGGCACAGAUGGCAUUUUUUUUAAUCAGUGUCAGCGUUGGCUUCUUUCUGCUCUGAUGAAUAGAUUCUAAAGAGGCAGUGACAUUAUUGGAGACAACAGAGGGAGCGGAAAGAGGGUCAGCCACCAGGGAGGGACGGAGAUAAAGGGGAGGCCCGAGGGGGCGGCACCCUGGCGGGGUCCCUGUCCCGGAAGGUGGCCCCUCCCCAGCCUGGCUCCCUGCAGUGGGGCUGCCCUGGGCCCGGCUGGGCGGGGGAGGCCGACAGCUGUGCCAGGCCUGCGUCCCCUGUCCCUCCCCGCUGCCCACUGCCCAUUCCGCCCUUUCAAUUCGAUUCAAUUAGGGCUGCCGGUCGGAAGCUUGUCUCCUGCGAUAUCCAGCCUAACUGACAGGGGAUGAGUGCUGUUUGUGGGACACACACUCUCGCUGCUCGCUGCCGGCACAGCCCAGGGACCUGGGUUAUUUAUGGAGCCGGCCACAGGACUGUCCCUCUGGGAACUGCUUCCUUUGGAGGGUGGGCUGGGGACCCUGUUUCUACUGCUCCCCUUCUGGAUCCUGGGGCCUGAGGGCCGGGGGAGGGGAACCAGAACAAGAGCACGAGUAGAACUGAGUUCAAAUUCCAACUCUCCCCCUGGGCAGCUGUGUGUCGUCGGGCAAGAAACAACACCUCUCUGAGCCUGUUUCUUCAUCUAGAAAAUGAAGGCAACUCAUCGGGCAUCGUGGGGACCCAGUGGGGUGGCGGGUGGAGGGCAUUUAGCUCUGCCUUCGGGAAGGCUACAUGGCAGUGCAGGAGCUACAAAAUAAGUAGGGGGUCACUCCCAUGGCGGGGGCUGGGGAGUGAUGACCUGAAGUCCCCAGGCCUAAGAACUGUCCUCAUUUGGGGGCAUGUGCUCAUCUGCACCCCUUUCUCGCACCAUUUACCAGAUCUUUGUUGGGGGUGGUGUGGCCCUGGGGAAGAGUAGGUGUGGACAUUCAUCAAAUCCAGUGCAUUCAAAAAUGGCCACUUUGGGGGCUGGGACUGUGGCUCAGCGGUAGAGUGCUCUCCUAGCACGGCAGGACCCGGGUUCGAUCCUCAGCACCACAUAAAAAUAAAGGCAUUGUGUUGUGUCCAUCUACACCUAAAAAAUAAAUAUUUUAAAAAAUGGCCACUACUUACUGCCUGUGUCCUCCGGGCCCCACUGGACACGCAUGACCUCAUGGGGUUCUCACAACAGUUGCCACUGGUAUUGUCUCCAUCCUCCAGAAGAGAAAACCGAGGCUCAGACAGGGGCUGGGCCUUGCCCAUGAGGUCAAACACCUGCUAAUCCGUCAGACACUGCUGUGGGGCAGACACUCUCACGUACUUUGUCCCCUGACAGCCCGAGACAUGGGUAUUCUGUCCCUCAUUUUGCAGAAGAGAAAAUCAAGGCCCCGAGAGGGGAAUGGCACAGUCUGUUAGAGGAGAGCUGGAUGGAAACACAGGGAGGUUUGCCUAAGUUCACGUCCAGUUUGUCAUCUCCAUCUCCUGGUUUCUACCUCAGGAUUGUUCCAGAUUUGUAUUAAAUUGUAGGUAGACAGUGAAAGGUCAUACCGACCAUCCAGGAGUGAUUGAGUCCCUCAAGAGUCUCUGAAGUAUGACACAGCCCCUACUGGUAAGAGAGAUGCCAUCUCCUCAAGAGGAGAAAAAAAUAAAUAUGUAAAGAGUUACAAGAAUUCAAUGACAAGUAGGGUUCCUCACGGGCUGCAUAGACAACCCACAGUUCUGAGCAGUUGAGCAGAAGCCGGCCUUGAAAGACACAUGUAUUCUGGAGAGAGAAGUGCACAUAAUCAUCAUCACAAUGACAAUACGUCAAUCGUUGUUACAGUGACAAUAAUCCCUCAAAUUCAAUCCCGUGUUGUAGGUCUUGCUCUUCCCACUUCAUAGAUGAAGACGAUGAGGCUCAGAGAGAUGAAGUGACGUGUCUGAGGCCAGUCAUCUGGGGCGCAGUUCCUCUAAUCCAAAGCAGGUUUCUGUCCUCUGGCCCUGGACGAUCUCUCAGAGUGUCCUGAGCAGCAGGUGGUCUGGCCUGAGUCGAAAUUUGUUCCUGGGGAGGCUUCUCGUCCAAGGCCUGAGACUCUCGGGGUCCCCGGGGGGUGAAGGAGACCCAUCUCUGCCCUCCAGGGUCUGCAGAUGGGAGCCGGCUGAGCAAACUGGUGGUCACGAAGAGGGGCAGCAGGUUGUUCACGGGAACCCAGGAGGAAGGGGGGUGAGGGUCCCAGCCUGGAGUGGGAUCGAGGAGGGCUUCCUGGAGGGGGGGCAGCGGGCCAGGGCUGAGGGAGGGUGGCCCAGGGGCAGAGGAACUGGAAGCCACCAAUGGCUCCCGGCCCAGAUGGAGCCUGUCGUGGGAGGUGGCCUGGAACUGCCCGGAGCCGAG
rnacentral:lncRNA from 1 species